rnacentral:rRNA from 1 species
UACGGAGGGGCUAGCGUUGUUCGGAAUUACUGGGCGUAAAGCGCGCGUAGGCGGACCUGCAAGUCGGGGGUGAAAGCCCGAGGCUCAACCUCGGAACUGCCUUCGAUACUGCGGGUCUCGAGUCCGGGAGAGGUGAGUGGAAUUCCUAGUGUAGAGGUGAAAUUCGUAGAUAUUAGGAAGAACACCAGUGGCGAAGGCGGCUCACUGGCCCGAUACUGACGCUGAGGCACGAAAGCGUGGGGAGCAACAGGG